CACACAUCUGCAGCCAGGAGAGCUAUCAUUGGUUACGGCUUAAACAACCCAUUUCCUCUCCCCAGCUGCACCUCUCUCUGUCUCUCCAUCUGAGGGGCUUUUUCAUAGUUCUCUGUUUCAAGUUCAACCCAACCAGUGAGAAUGUUACUGCGGCAGGUUCUUAUUGUGACUUUGACAUGGUCUUGUGGAUAUUCGCAAAUAACUCUGAUACAAACUCCAUUGUCUGUCACCAGAGCAGAAACUAGAAGUGCAUAUAUGUGGUGUAAAAUUUCUGGCAAAGGUUUUAAUUUUAACAGUGAUUAUAUACACUGGUAUCGACAGAGCCCAGGGGCAGCUCCAAAGAGGAUUCUGUAUAUUAGAUCAGGAUCAGUUUCUACGGAUGAAGGCUUUGAUAGAGAAAAAUUUAAAGCUGGUAAUGAUGUUUCUGGGUCCACCUCUAAUCUCAGAGUAGACCAACUAACUCAAGAGGAUGCUGCAACCUAUUAUUGUGCCACGUGGGAUCGCACACUGGAUCGAGCACUCUCCUGCCUGCUGCAGGAGAACUGUGCCCUGCGGGCUGAGGUGGCGCUGUGGCAGUCCCAGAGCCGAGCAGAAUGUGCCGCAGCUGCCACCAUGACCUGUCAGGAUAGCUACAUUCCACCAGGACAAGAGGAGGCUUGUACGAGAGAGAUAGAGAAAGACAUUUCACAGGAGCUGGACCUAGACUACGGGACUCGCUACUGCAAGAUUGAAGGAUGA